rnacentral:lncRNA from 1 species
CUGGUGUCAUCAUCCGUGAUCCAUGAGGUCCAGUGCUGUCACCAUCCACUAGUAUCCACCAUAACCCUGGUGUCAUCCCAGAGUCCACUGCAACCAUGUGCCAUCAUCCCCCAAGAGCCAUCAUCUUAGGAGCCAAGUACCGUGACGGGCUGUAUUUCAGUUGUCCUCUGGGGCCACAUGGUACUUACAGUUGUUCACUUAAGGGGAACCAGCACAACAGGCCAUAUUCCCGUUUCCACUAAAAGGACAGGGGUGGGGCCAGCUGUCCCCUUCUGAAGACUUCACCCCUACUCUGGCCCUCCUUAUGUCAUUGCCUCACUCCUGACCGAGGAUGAUGCCUGCAUCAAUCCCACCACAGAUGUGGCCUCAGCCAACCUCACCUUACCCCCCGGUGAGGCACCCAGGCCCCUCCUGACAGCAGCGCUGCCCCUCACCCAGCCAUCUGAUUGGUGACAGGGUCAACCCAGCAACCUCCUCAUUAUCACCAGAGGGGAAGCAUUUCAAACC